UCAACCAUUCACAGUCAGUCAUUGAAGCAUGACAUCACGAAUUCAUCUGAACUUGAACUACAAACUCUAGACGAUCAAUCGAUCGGUUCACGAGACCUUUCCACAUUGGGAGAGAAAAAAGAUGAUUAGAAAAAAAAACCUGGUGCGGUUUCUAACCACCCCUGUCGUGCGCCUCUACUGUGAGGCGGUUUCAAGGCGUCCUCGUGAAGGUAGUGGGAGCGGGUCACACAGGCGGAAAAGACCUGUGUGAAUUGUCAGAUUCGAAAGAGCAGACCUCAACUGCAACUCUUGCUAAAAUGACAACACUUGCGGCUAAAACGCCGAGCUUCGGGACUAGGCCUUAUUCCCAUGGACUCGCGGGAACAAUAGCGCUGAUUCGCCGCGGAAAGCGAGGCGCGGUCAUCAUGACUCUCCGAGCUUGUGUGUUGUUAACGGCCAGCGGAGCGGCGGUAAAUGGCAGACGCUUUCGGCUUUGAUCACGUUGGCAAUUUUAACUGCACUCUGAUAAAAUACUAAUUUUCCUUUGGACGUUGGUUAACAUUCAGCCGUGCGCCUUUUCCGGUGGCUAAAAAUCAGCGUGGAUUGUUGCUUUAUGGAUCCUUUCUCUCGUCCUUUGUCACCGUCUGUCUGUAACUCUCGGUUAUCAAAGGCAGUGACAACUCAGCGCUUGACAGGCGAAUGAGACAACCUGCCACGGAGCUCAGAGACCUUCCCAGGAUGUCGAGGCCUUUCUGGGGCUUAAUCUCAGUGUGGCGGGACGCUCUUAUGACAGCUUUUAAUUCUCUCUGGGCAACAUUCAUCAUGCACUGUCUGCUAUGGGCGCUGGAUCAAAUGUACCCCGGGAUACUGGCAUUCCAGCCGACGUGUCCCAGCCCACUUUACACCGUCACAUAUAUUCAUGGCUCUCUUUUUUAUUCAUGAGUUUGCUCGCCUUUUGUUAGACUGUCUGUGAGUGACAAGACAGCGGCCGUCUGGCCAGACUGAUCAUAGUAGAUGUAAAUGCAUGAGGAAAAGAGGAGUACACAUCAUGAUUGUGUGAAUUUAUUAGAAUGAAAACAUCAUUUUACAUUUGAA
rnacentral:lncRNA from 1 species